rnacentral:rRNA from 1 species
AAGCGCGCCCAGUGGUUUUUUAANUNUGAUGUGAAAGCCCCCGGNUCANCCCGGGAGGGUCANUGGAAACUNGGGAACUUGAGUGCAGAAGAGGAUAGUGGAAUUCCAAGUGUAGCGGUGAAAUGCGUAGAGAUUUGGAGGAACACCAGUGGCGAAGGCGACUAUCUGGUCUGUAACUGACACUGAGGCGCGAAAGCGUGGGGAGCAAACAGGAUUAGAUACCCUGGUAGUCCACGCCGUAAAC